UAGUGAGGGAGGGGUGAGGGGGCCGGGGUCGGAGAGACGGCUCCCCGGAGCCAGCUGUUCGUCCUGAUCACCAAUGAAAACUAACCUUUAACAGCAACUGAGACACAGAUGGUCAGAGUGUAACAGUGUCGUACAGAGAGUCUGCUGGGGGCAGAGGAGAGUAGGUACUGGAGCUGCGCGAGCUGAUGGCGUGCCAGCAGUUAACAACGAGGCUAACACCACGGUGACUCGAUACCAAUGUUAUGUUACUAACACGUGUGAGCAGCUACUGAUUGGCUAGUGAAGAAUCCCGGAAAAGGACAUCAGAGCAGAAGAGAGACCCAAAAAUCCACAGACUUAAAUGCAAACUUGAGUCCAAGAGCUACGACUGACACUGGAGCUAAGAGGCAGCAGAGGAAUGAGGAAACUAACUGGGCGGAAUGGGGAUGCCGACGGACACAUUCUGCAUCUGGGACCGUCACCCAAGCAGUCGGCGAAGGCAAAUGUCAGCAUGCGCCGAGUCCACGCUUGACUGUGCCGCACUCGGCACCACCACCUGGCCCUCCUUGCUCAGCCACCGAGUGUGGGCAGCAGUGACACUGCAGAGCCUUUCCCCCAGGGUGAGGGGAAAAGCACCGCGGUGUUCAGGGCUCAUCCACAUGCAUGCAUGUACACCAACACCUCCUGCACUCCCUGCUCUUUUUCACACAAGAGAUACACAAAAAGAAACAUGGGACUUCAGUACAACAGCAAGCUUAGCUGAAACCUCUCGUAAAAAAAGAUUGCUCUGUCAUGCGUCUGUUCUGUCCAAGCUGAAGCACGGCCGAGUUAAAAAAAAAUAAUAAAGCUCAUGAGACGAUGUCAUGAACAAAA